CAUUGCUGAUAACACCGUUGCUGCUGAAUCUUCUUCAGGUGGUGGUAAUAAAAGCUUUUCUCGAGUAUGGACAAUGCCAGUGGAAGGUUCAUCGAGUAGUGAAAGGGCUGAAUCAUCAA